ACCCGCUGAACUUAAGCAUAUCAUUAAGCGGAGGAAAAGAAACUAACUAGGAUUCCCUCAGUACGGGCGACGGAAGCGGGAAAAGCCCACAUUGGUAAUCUGCGGCCGUUAGGUCGUCGAAUUGUAAUCUGAAGACGGUUAGUCCAAUUGGAUCAAACGCCGAAGUCUGCACGAGCGCAGCGCCAAAGAGGGUGAGAGCCCCGUAAGGUGUUGGAUCCUACCCGGGCUGGCAGUCCAAGAGUCGUGUACCUUGAUACUGGUGCACCAAGCGGGAGAUAAACUUCUUCUAAGGCUAAAUAUAGGUAGGAACCCGAUAGCGAACAAGUACUGUGAAGGAAAGAUGAAAAGCACUUUGGAAAGAAAGUUAAAAGACUUGAAAUCGUUGAGGCGGGCCCGGUAGAAAUAUAUUCUAGCGAAACGCUCUGGGAAGCCUGUACGCGGGCCACUUGAGCGUUAGCCGAGACAAGAUGGAGUCGUGGGAUGCCAGAGACCGUGCAAUCGGAGGUCUGACUUUCGGCUGUGCUGGUUGGGCGUCCCGCGGCUUGAGGGGCUUUGAGCGAUCUUGUCAAAAUGGUUUUUACCGACUCGUCUUGAAACACGAACCAAGGAGUCUAAGACUAACGCGAGUAUGGUGGUGGAGAAACCAACAUGCGAAAUGAAAGUAAAUGAUGCCAAGCACCCUGCAGCAUCGACCGACUUUUUUCUCUUGGAGAAGGUUUGAGUAAGAGCGUUAUUCUUAGGACCCGAAAGAUGGUGAACUAUGCCUGUGUAGGGUGAAGUCAGGGGAAACUCUGAUGGAAGCUCGUAGCGAUACUGACGUGCAAAUCGUUCGUCUAACAUGGGUAUAGGGGCGAAAGACUAAUCGAACCAUCUAGUAGCUGGUUCCCUCCGAAGUUUCCCUCAGGAUAGCUGGGACAAUAUCGCAGUUUUAUUAGGUAAAGCGAAUGAUUAGAGGCAUCGGGGAUAAAAUGUCCUUGACCUAUUCUCAAACUUUAAAUUGGUAAGAACUCCCGUCUUCGCUUAAUUGAAGCAGGAGGUUCAAUGCGUGUCCUUAGUGGGCCAUUUUUGGUAAGCAGAACUGGCGAUGAGGGGUGCUCCUAACGUUGGGUUAAGGUGCCAAACUACACGCUCAUCAGAAACUACAAAGGGUGUUAGUUCAUCCAGACAGCAGGACGGUGGCCAUGGAAGUCGGAAUCCGCUAAGGAGUGUGUUACAACUCACCUGCCGAAUGAACUAGUCCCGAAAAUGGAUAGCGCUAAAGCGUGUGACCGAUACCCAACCAUUGGUGCGAGAGUUAGGCAUCAAUGAGUAGGAGGGCGUGGGCGUCGUGGCGAAGCCUAUAGCGUGAGCUUGGGUAGAACGGCGUCUAGUGCAGAUCUUGGUGGUAGUAGCAAUUAUUCAAAUGAGAACUUUGAAGGCCGAAGUGGAGAAGGUUUCCGUGAGAACAGCAAUUGGUCACGGGUGACUCGAUCCUAAGACAUGGGGGAAAUCCUUGUUAAGUGCGCGCAAGCGCGUAGUCGAAAGGGAAUGAGGUUAAUAUUCCUCAAGCUGGAUGUGGGCGUUAAGUGGCAACACAAACGAACUUAGAAACGCCAGCAUGAGCCUCUGGAAGAGUUGUCUUUUCUUUUUAACAGUCUAGUGUCCCUGAAAUUGGUUUACCCAGAGAUAGGGAGACACGACUGGAAGAGCACCCUGCGUUUCGGGGUGUCAGGUGCGCUCAUGAUGGUCCGUGAAAAUCUAAGUAAGAUAGUAUCACACCAGGUCGUACCCACAACCGCAUCAGGUCUCCAAGGUU
rnacentral:rRNA from 1 species